AGUGGCGAACGGGUGAGUAAUGCGUGACCGACCUGCCCCAUACACCGGAAUAGCUCCUGGAAACGGGUGGUAAUGCCGGAUGCUCCAGUUGAUCGCAUGGUCUUCUGGGAAAGCUUUCGCGGUAUGGGAUGGGGUCGCGUCCUAUCAGCUUGACGGCGGGGUAACGGCCCACCGUGGCUUCGACGGGUAGCCGGCCUGAGAGGGCGACCGGCCACAUUGGGACUGAGAUACGGCCCAGACUCCUACGGGAGGCAGCAUG
rnacentral:rRNA from 1 species